rnacentral:rRNA from 1 species
AGUGAACGCUGGCGGCGUGCUUAACACAUGCGAGUCGAACGAGAACGGGUUAUAGCUUGCUAUAAUUGUCAGCUAAGUGGCGCACGGGUGAGUAAUGUAUAGGUAAUAUGCCUCUUACUAAGGGAUAACAAAUGGAAACGUUUGCUAAUACCUUAUACUCCUUAUUAACAGAAGUUAAUAAGGGAAAGAUUUAUUGGUAAGAGAUUAGCCUGUAUUAUAUCAGUUAGUUGGUGGUGUAAUGGCUUACCAAGACUAUGACACAUAACUGGUUUGAGAGGAUGAGCAGGAGAAGUGGGACUGAGAACCGUUCCAGACUAUUACGGGAGGAAGCAGUGGGGAAUAUUGCACAAUGGACGAAAGUCUGAUGCAGCAACGCCGCGUGGAGGAUUACACAUUUCGGUGCGUAAACUCCUUUUAUAUGAGAAGAUAAUGACGGUAUUAUAUGAAUAAGCACCGGCUAACUCCGUGCCAGCCGCCGCGGUAA